UUGGCCUCGCGCUGUUGCGAUAUUUCCGGUCCCUUGGGCAGUAGAAGUACCAGUCCGUCUCACCGGUGCUUGCAAGCUCUGUCGUUGACAAGGGACAUGGACGUUAGACUUUGCAGCAGUAAGUGAAGGGAUGAGACCAAGACUAAUUAACUAAAGAUCAAGGGUGAAACCAACUUAAUUAUGUUGAAUAAGCAUCCUAAUUCCUAUCCUCUCCUUGGAAGAUACCAGUACAGAGUUUGGAAUUCCCAAAAGUCAAUUGCGUUCCAAUCUGUUAAAGAGAGAAAAAAAGAUGUAUAACAAGGAGAGGUAAGAAGAUGCAAGCUUACUUGGGAGGUCCCACGGGUCAAACUUGUAGAUGUCCAGCUGCCUGAUGAGCUCAAUGGAAAUAGGCUUUUGCUGGAUCUUCUUCUUGAGGUAGAAACUAACGAGCUCUUCAUCGGUAGGAUGGAACCGGAACCCCGGCAUGAUGAUCUCAUCUGAUUUGUCCAUGUUGACAUCAUUUGUGCCCUCCAUAUCUAUCUCACAAAGGUUAGCUUGUGCAGUAGUGAAUGGCUUCUUGGGAUGAAGCUGCUGGGCUGAGGUGAAGACAAUCACCGGCCGAGAGAUGUACUUAUAUGCUACCUGGAGCGACUGGAUGAGGCCCACAGGAUCCACACGACGAACUGGAGAAGGGCCGUCUUCUAUGACGUCAGACCCGCUUGAUCAACGCUGCCAAGCUGGAGGAGGCGCAACGGUCGGAAAAUGGAGGGGGGUUGGGUAGGAGGCGAUUGUAGUCCCGACAUCGCGCGAGCUAGCUCUUGUAAACCUGGGUCAUCCUUGUUGGUGUUGGACAAAGUUUCUUGUUUCUUCUUCUAUCCAUGAAUUGGGAAUGGGAUCGCAUUGCUUUCUCGUUUUCUCGAAAAAGAAAGAAGAGAAAACAUUUGAUCUGCUGUCAGAGCACCAUGUUUUCCUAUUGCACAUGAAACAGCUCAUACUGCAUCAGCAAACUCAAACAAACUUGACGCCAAGUUUUCCCAGCUGCCACGGCGUCGGCACACUGGGAAGAUUCUGAUCAAGGUUAUUUAUUUUUUGGCAAAAACUGCAUAAUCAAUCGUCUCACUCUGCAGCUACUAAGCAAACACUUGGAUCGUCAAGCAUUCAUUUCAGACACCAGAUACUAAUGGAAGGGAAGUUAACCAGAGACAGCAUGAACUAACCAGACGGGUUCCAACAUCUCAACGAGUC